rnacentral:rRNA from 1 species
AGAACGAACGCUGGCGGCAUGCCUAAUACAUGCAAGUCGAACGAACUCUUCGGAGUUAGUGGCGCACGGGUGCGUAACGCGUGGGAAUCUGCCCCUUGGUUCGGAAUAACAGUUGGAAACGACUGCUAAUACCGGAUGAUGACGAAAGUCCAAAGAUUUAUCGCCAAGGGAUGAGCCCGCGUAGGAUUAGCUAGUUGGUGAGGUAAAGGCCUACAACGAGACAACGAC